GUCUACGGCCAUGCCACCCUGAACGCACCCGAUCUUAUCUGAUCUCGGAAGCUAAGCAGGGUCGGGCCUGGUUAGUACUUGGAUGGGAGACCACCUAGGAAGACCAGGUGCUGUAAGCG
rnacentral:rRNA from 1 species